AGGGCAGAAUCAAUUUGCGCCAAUGGCAGUUUUGAAAAGGUAUUAAUUGCGCCACUCUCUUUUAUUUUGAUGGUAUUAAUUGCGCCAAUAAAUGAAAUGAAAUUGCGCCACAUUUACCUGUAAAUAUUUUUUUACUUAUAUCAUACCUGCACAUGUUUUACCUAUAGCAUACAUGUACUAUUAUUAAAAUUUCCACUAAAGAUUUAAUUGAACACUCAUCAAAUUUAAGAAAACUCACCAAAAAAUAAAUUGUUUAGUAAUAGAAUAUUUUUUCACGAGUCAAGAGUGUCUGAUAUACCAUUCAAGAAAAUAGAGUCUGAUAGAGGAAAACUGGUCAUCAUUGUUGAAGAAACACAAAUUCCGUCAGGCAUUUGUACAGAAAACUGGAGAAAUAAGGUGGAGAUGUAACAGUUAAGGAAAACUGGAGAAAUAAGGUGGAGAUGUACAGUUAAGUCGUGUUGUGCUAGGUUAUUCACAGAUGAAUCGUGUACAAUUAUUUCGAAUGGAGAAUUAGAUUAUAUGUCAUGAAACAAAAGUCCAGAAACAAGAACGUCAAAUUUUGAGAACUGCGUGCAAAAGAAAAGCAACCGAUAUGUUGCCAGAGCGACCUUCUAAAAUAAAAAAAUUCAGAGCUAUUCAAAAUUGAAGAAGAAAAUUUAGAAAAGAAAGAUUUAAGAUAUGUGCGUCAGUCAAUGUAUAUGGAGAGAAUAAAACUGCAUCGGGCUCAACCUAAAAGUCAAGCAGAAUUUCACAGAAUAUUGGAUGAUAUUGGUGUUGUUACAAACAAAGAUGAUGACUUUGUAUUGUGUAACGAGCCAGAAAGCGGGAUAAUUUUAUGAGGAUGAUUACUUUAUUGACGCAAAUGAUACCUAUAGUUUUGAAAAUU
rnacentral:lncRNA from 1 species